rnacentral:lncRNA from 1 species
ACCCUAGGUACAAUGCUUGUAUAUAUGGGGAGAUUUGCUCUGCUACAAGGGUUUGUGAUAAAGGAUUAAUUUUCUUAAUUACUAUAUUUUGCAAGAAUCGAUAUUAUUAUCUUUAAAGCAAAAUUAGGAAUGCCUUUGUUCUUCAGAUAUGGCGAUAUCUGGACACUCCUAAGUCCGGGUCUGUUUUAGUAAACAUUAUUAAUUUGUUCCCUUAACCAUAAACCUCUAGGGGCUCGGAAUACCCACCUUUCUGGUAAUGCAGCCCAGCGGGUCCCAGCCUCGUUUUCCAGCCCUCACUCAAAAUGGAGUCGCUCUGGUUCGAACGCCUCUGACAAGUGUGUACCUACGUGUCAGGGAGCCUGCUCACAUGACCGUGUGGAGAAAGUUCUUUCCCUGAGGACCAUCUGGAGUGGACGCGUGCACUACCCCUCUCUGAAUACACCCUCCCCACGAGGCCCUCUGGAGCAUCCUGUAGAGCCAGCCCCUACCCAGAGACCCUGAGCCCAGAGAAUGCGCUGGGUGGUGAGCCUGGGGACGAAUGCAGAGCCCUAGGUCUCCUCUCCAGAAGUUGGAGUGCCAUGGUGUGGUCAUAGCCCACUGAAGCCUCAAACCUCUGGGCUGAAGCCAUCCUUCCGCCUCAGCCUCCCAAGUAGCUGGGACCAUAGGUGCAUGGCACUGUGCCUGGCACUGUCUGAAUGCAUACAGCUGCGUAGCAUCGUGGUAAGAACACCCGCCCUGACAUCACACAGACCUGCAUCCACGUCCCAGCUGAGCCUCAGUUCUCACAUCUGCAAAAUGGGGAGAACAACAGCAGCAGCGUCCUGAGGCUGGGGUGAGGACCGAGUGAAAAACCUUUGUCGCAUCUUUGGGCAUCGCAGGAGUUCAAUAAAUGUUAGCUAUCGU